GGCUGCGCAAAGCGGGAGGAGGAAGGGAAUCUUUUAUUUAUGGGGAGGGAGCGUCGGGGAGCCGGGCUGCGCCCACACCCGUAGCCAGGCCAAGAUCUUGAGGCUGUGCUUUCGGCCCCAUAGCCAGGCCCCUGUCCCGACGCCCUCCUGGCACCGAGAUGCCCGGCCUGGUAGGAGAGGAUGGAAGGUGGAUGGAGGGCAGAGCCGGGGCAAGAGCCAGCGUGCGCCCAACCUGAGAAAUGACCCCAGAGGGUCCCCCGGGGGCCAUGGCAGCCCCGUUCUCCACUGCACCCCGGUCUCCUUAGGGCACACGUGCCAGGGCGGGUGCAGGCAGUGAGGAGGUACAACACAAUGGGGUGCUGCAGAAACAGAACUUGGGGUGGGGCCAGGGGCUGCCUUACUAGGUCCUGAAGAAGGGUGUCUCAGAAGAGGAGAUCAGAAGGAGCCAGACAAGAGCAAAAGAACCAGUAGUGCAAGGGUCCUGCCUCAGGACAGCUGCGGGGGGAUGAGGACCGGCAGGAAAGCCAGGGGCGAGAAGGGCAGAUCCGCACCCCCCCCCCCCCCGAGCCGUCCUUCCCCCACACCGGGCCGCAGGCUCCACGCCUCGGGCAGUAGAGGCCCUGGGCGCCGGGCGCCUUGGGUCUGACUACUUCGUGUGCACCUGCCACCCACUCCCGGUGUCGAGGUCCCAGCCCCACCUUCUCCACAGUUCUUCUGAGCCCCCCAAGUGCAGGAAACUGCGCAUGGGGUGCCACGAGGGGGAAUUCUGACCCCAGAGGCCCCGGGGCCGCAGUGCAGGAGCCACCACCGUGGAGCAGAGAUUUUUACUUAAAAAAAUAUCGGAGCCAGAUUGAAGACAGAGAGAGAAAGCGAGUGAGCAAGAGGGAGAGGGAGAGGGCGAGCGAUGAGUGUCCGUGGUUGCUCCCCCAUACCCACCCGCAACAGCCCCACCUCCUUUCCUUGUCGAUGUCUAGACUGGGGCAGUAUUUUGUGAAACUGGAGGAACCGCACUGGGAAUUCAGAACCAACGGUACAGUGGCCAGCGCACGUUUUCUGGUUUGAGCCGAGUGAGGGAGGUAGCGGGGCGCCCACCCUCGUGGUCUUCAGAGUUGCCCGAGAAGCCAAAUCCUGCGGCUUACGAGGGGCUUGUAGGAAAGGCUGCGCCCCUUCCAGCUGGGACCUGGCCUCAGGGCUCUUAGGAAGCUGCAAGGCCUUUGGGGAGCCCAGAGCGUGGCCCCGCGGGCCCCAGGGCUGGUUGGGGCACUUGGAGCUGGUUCCUCCUGUCACCUCUGCAGACAGCAGCUCCCACUCCCACCUCUGCCCUGAGCGAGGUGCCUCCCUUCCUGUGGGUCGGUUUGGUCUCUCAUGCGCUGGACUUUGGGAUCUGAACCAUGAGGCUGGGAGGGAGAGCUCCAGGGGACCAGCCAGGAUGGGGAGGGAGGGGACAAGCUAGCAGACAGGCCAGGGGACACGGGCUCGGCGAGCACACAGUGGGGGGAAGGUGGCCAAGGUGCGGUGGGCAGCCAACCCAGAGCCUGUUCUCCCCACGGGUGCUGUGUCUGGAAGAGCACCCCCGGCCCCUCCAUUCCAAAGAUGGGACCCUCCCGCCCCGGGAGCCUGGAGGACGUUCCCCAAACCACACUGGCAGCAACUAUCGUGUCUGAGCUCUAGCCACAGCCCACCGCCGCAGGGCUCCAGGCCAGACGAGCCCGACUCUGCUGGAUGCUCAGAAAAAAAAAGAAAGGCUUGCGGCUACCAAGUGCUUGCCCCCAGUUCCCCUCCACCCUUCUCUGAUCCCCACUGAGGGCCUCCCCUUGCCCAGCCUGCGAUGUGCCUGGGACCCUGCCCAUCCCCAGGUAUGGUGGGAAGCGUCACUGCCACACCCUGGCUGGCUCUGUGUGGCUGGACUCUCCCUCGGACAGCCACAGGCCCCCACAGACCUCCUCUCCCUGGGGUGCUGCUCACGGACGCCAGGGUGGCCGGUCCUGCCUUCUCCCCAGCCGCCUGAAGCCACCUGCCUGGAGACACUGUCAACUGCUGGGAGACUGUGGCCACCGCCCCGCACCUCGAUGGGAGGAGGCGCGAGGCUGCACCAGCUAGAGUCCUCGGCAGGGGCGAAGUGAGGGACCUGAGAACCACAGCGGCCCUUGAACCAGAGCUCACCGUGGCCUAGAACAGCCUGUCAUCUGUGGAGAGGAUAUUUGCAUUUCAUCCUGCAGACCGUGGGGCCACCAGCCACUCUCCUCCUAGGCCGCCUCACUCCUAACUGGGAAGCAGAAAGGGAAAAACCAAAACACGAGUUUCCUACUACAACAGGUGGAACCUUCAUCCCCUGCCCCUGACGUGACUCCCCUGGAUUGUCACAACACCCCCCUGCCCCCAAGAAGAGAGACCAGCAUGGUGAACCCCAGCAUGGGUAGGGCAACUACCUCUGACUGCAAACCCCCGGGGCUUCAGGCUGGGGGUGCAGGGCCUCGCUUCGCUCUACCUCCUAGGGGGCAUGGCUCUCCCAGGGCAAAUCCAGUCACUUCGGACUUGAGACGGGUGUCAGAGGCCUGCAGGCUGUUCCAGAUGUGCAGUGGCUUCGAUGCUGACGCCCGUGCCCAGAUCUAGUGCACACUCACCCCUUUAGGAGAGUGGCGGGAUGCACAGGUGGACGUCAGCCGUGUGCUCUGCCCAGGCCAAGGAGGCCAAGGAGGCCAAGACAGGAGCCAGAGGCCCUGAACAGCGCCCACGGACACCCUGGACGGUGCCAGCCCAUCACUAGCAAUCAGGGGGCAGCCCCAGUGGCGCAGAGGUUUAGCGCCGCCUGCAGCCCGGAGUGU